rnacentral:rRNA from 1 species
ACGGAAGGCAGCAGUGGGGAAUGUUGGGCAAUGGGCGAAAGCCUGACCCAGCAACGCCGCGUGAAGGAAGAAGGCCUUCGGGUUGUAAACUUCUUUUAUCAGGGACGAAGAACGUGACGGUACCUGAUGAAUAAGCCACGGCUAACUACGUGCCAGCAGCCGCGGUAAUACGUAGGUGGCGAGCGUUAUCCGGAUUUACUGGGUGUAAAGGGCGCGUAGGCGGGGAUGCAAGUCAGAUGUGAAAUCUAUGUGCUUAACCCAUAAACUGCAUUUGAAACUGUGUCGCUUGAGUGUCGGAGAGGUAGAUGGAAUUCCUAGUGUAGCGGUGAAAUGCGUAGAUAUUAGGAGGAACACCAGUGGCGAAGGCGAUCUACUGGACGAUAACUGACGCUGAGGCGCGAAAGCGUGGGGAGCAAACAGGAUUAGAUACCCUGGUA